rnacentral:rRNA from 1 species
UACAGAGGGAUGCUACCGGGCGACCGGAUGCGGAUCUCGAAAGCCUGUCCCAGUUCGGACUGGAGUCUGCAACCCGACUCCACGAAGUUGGAUUCGCUAGUAAUCGCACAUCAGCCAUGGCGCGGUGAAUACGUUCCCGGGCCUUGUACACACCGCCCGUCAAGCCAUGGGAGCCGGGGGCGCCUGAAGUCCGGGACCGCGAGGACCGGCCUAGGGCGAAACUGGUAACUGGGGCUAAGUCGUAACAAGGUACC